rnacentral:rRNA from 1 species
AACGAACGCUGGCGGCAUGCCUAACACAUGCAAGUCGAACGAGCCCUUCGGGUCUAGUGGCGCACGGGUGCGUAACGCGUGGGAACCUGCCCUUAGGUUCGGAAUAACUCCCCGAAAGGGGUGCUAAUACCGGAUAAUGUCUUCGGACCAAAGAUUUAUCGACUUUGGAUGGGCCCGCGUUGGAUUAGCUAGUUGGUAGGGUAAAAGCCUACCAAGGCGACGAUCCAUAGCUGGUCUGAGAGGAUGAUCAGCCACACUGGGACUGAGACACGGCCCAGAAUCCUACGGGAGGCAGCAGUGGGGAAUAUUGGACAAUGGGCGAAAGCAUGAUCCAGCAAUGCCGCGUGAGUGAUGAAGGCCUUAGGGUUGUAAAGCUCUUUUACCCGGGAUGAUAAUGACAGUACCGGGAGAAUAAGCUCCGGCUAACUCCGUG